UCGUAGGUGGUGGUGUUAUGAGAACAAGAUAUUCAUCAAUACUUAGUUUUUUUCUAUUUAUGUUGUGAUAUUUUAUUCAUUUGUAACAAUGACCUAAUUAUAAUACUUAAAAAUUAAAUUAGUAGUAAUAUGGGUGUAAUUUGUCAAUAAUACUAAUAAUUUAGAGUGAUGACAUUGAAGAAGAUUGCUAAAAUGUCAACAAAAUCACAAAUAUCCUCAGAAUUAAAUGACAGCAUUAGUAAUGUCCUAGGGAAAAAUGUGAAAAUAUUAUAUAAAUCCUUAAUUCGCAUGGAAUCGAGAGGAGACAAAGUGGAUAAUCGAGUUUUAGUUGUUACAUCAUAUAGAAUAUUUAUAACAACAACAAAAAUCCCAACAAGGAUUGACAAUGGAUUUCACUUGAUGGAAAUAGAGGCUCUGGAGAGCAAAAAGGCAAAUCAUCUAUCAAUAACACUCAUUCAUGAACAUAAGCCUGUAUCUAUUCUUAUUGGUGAAGAAGGAUCGCCGGAAGGUGUUAUUAAUGCAAUACACGCGCUAACGGCCGCGUUUGAUGACUUAUUUCCUAAUGUGGCUAUGGAGGACAUUAUAUCCAAGGUGAAUUUACCAUUCCCACUGCAAGCCGUCUGCGGUACGCGAAAGCAUUCAACCUGCGGUGACUUUUCUAAUCAAUAUGCAGCAAUGUGUGAUCUUUGCCAAACACCUUUUAGGGCCGAAGUUGCAUGGGACAUUGAUACAAUAUAUUUGGCGCACGAUAUACGAUUAUUACACCUUAAAGAUUUCGACCAUUUAGAUCAGAGGGAUUUAAUACCGCUGCUGAUAGCGCUGCAACACAACACGUGGUUCACGGGCGUGUGCGGCGACGGCGUACGCGUCGGCAGCGAGGCGUGGGAGGCGCUCUCGCGCGUGCUGCGCUGCGCCGCGCCGCCGCCGCAGCAGCUCAGCUGGCGGGGUGCGUCGCUGCGGCACGACCACGCGGCGCGGCUGGGGCACGCGCUGGCCAGAGCGAGGACGCCGCCUGCGAUGCACACCAUAGACUUGUCGCAGAACCAUAUAGAGGAUAAGGGAGCCAUCAGUGUACUAACGGGCCUAGCAAACAACCCAGAUGGCAUACGCCACAUAGCCCUGUCGCAAUGCGGUCUGACCGGGAAGACCGUAUCGCACCUCGCCUCCUUGCUCAAUGACAAUCUGUGCCAUCUCAAUACCUUGACCCAUCUUGAUUUAUCCCAUAAUAACCUUAAGGAUGACGUACAUCACCUGUAUAAUUUUUUAGCGCAGCCCAAUGUAUUGACGCAUUUAAAUUUAAUUAACACGGAAACUACGCUAGAAAAUAUGUGGGGUGCCCUAUUACGUGGAUGUGCGGCACGACUUUCAGCGCUGUAUGUGGGGCGAAACCCCUGGGCAAUAGGGCGAAGGCCUAGAGAUCCGCCACCAUCAUUUCGACAGUUUUUUACUGCGUGUUUGGCUCUUACGGAUCUGGAUUUCUCAUAUUGCAAGAUGCCGCCUGAUGCACUUAAGAGCCUCCUACUGGGUCUGGCGUGCAACGAGAGCGCGGCGGGCGUGAAGCUGAACGCGUCGGGCGCGCUCGCGUCGUCGCAGGCGGCGCACGUGCUCGAGUCGUGCAUACACGGCGUGCGCUGCUUGCAGUCGCUCGACCUCUCCGAUAAUAGUAUGGAAUUUGAGUUAUCUGGAAUUGUAAGAGCAGUAGGAAAAAACCAUUCCAUAACGCAUUUAUCUUUAAGUAAACUAACAGGAAAGAGAUCGUACGCCCCACCGCUAAUACAGGCCUUAGUUCAUGUUUUACAAGAACCGGACACAGCUUUAACAUCUUUGGAUCUCAGCGAUUGUAAGCUUAAGGGUGAUUUAUACGGAUUAUUGAACGCGUUGGGUGGAGCACGACGCUUGCGCACUUUGGACGUGUGCGGCAACCUGGCGGGCGACGCGGGCGCCAGGCUGCUGGCAAAGGCCUUGCAGUGCAACUGCACUCUGCACACCCUGUAUAUAGAUCGGAACGCGUUUAGCUUGCAAGGUCUGACGGACAUAGCGACGGCGCUGCGGCGCUCGGUGAGCGUGCGGCGCGUGGAGUUCCCCGCCAGCGACGCGGCGGCGGGCGGCCGCGGCGCCAGCGAGCGCGUCGCCGCGCUCUGGCGCGACCUGCACGAGCGACUCGCAAGCAACAGCGCGGCGUCCCAAACGCACCGCUUGCGGGCUCUAGCGCUGGAGCGCGCGUGGGGCGGCGGAGAAGCGGGCGCGGCGCUCGCGGCGCAAGCGGCUGGAGCGCUGCCGCCCGCGCCGCUGCCGCAGGCGCUGGAGCGCGCUGCAGCCGCUGCACACCACCUCCUGCAUCAGUAUCUGCAGCGCUGCGGCGAGGUGUUCGCAGCGAUGGGCGGUACCAAUGCUGCGGGAGAACUAGUGCCUCUUCAAGCUGUACGUGACGCGCUGGCACCCAGCUCCAAUACUCUGCAGGACUUGCUCAAUGAGGCGGUAGAAAGUAUGGCGCUAGCGGCGUGCGAGAGCGUGGAGAGUGCGGACAGUGAACACGCAAUCAAUACCGAUCCGGACAUACCCGAUUUGCUCACACCUAUCUCGCAUUCUGGGAAAUUGGAUUAUUUGAAUUUGGCGACGCCGCUGGGCGGGCGGCGGCGCGAGCGCGGCGGGCGGCGCGUGCGGCCCAAGUCGGUGGCGGAGCAGCAGUGCAGCAGCAACGAGAUGCUGUCGCUGCCGCCGCUGCACGCCGAGGCGGCGGACGCGCUCGCCGACCUGCCCGCGCACAAGCUGCGCCACCUCGUCAAGGGGCGACCACGACGUGUAAAAACGAGAGCGCCGUCACGGCCCAUAACGGACCAGUCCCAAGACAUCGACGAAGGUCUGGAGGAGUUCUGGCGCACGUGCCGCACGCCGCCCGGCAGCGAGGAGGCGUCGUCGCUGUCGGCGCGCACGGCGCUCACGUCGCGCUCGCUGCACUCGCUGUCGUCGCUCGCGUCCGCUUCGCCCGCCUCGCCCGCCUCGCCCUCGCCGCUGCGCCACUCGCCCACGCUGCGCCGCGACGACACCAUGUACAGUGUAACAUCCGGUGAAAGCACGCCAGUGUUAUUAGAAUGCGAAGUAUCUCGCUGCAAGUCUUCCGACAAUGUGGGCACCAAAGCUUCGUCGUCUACGCCACCGCCUUCCAGGUCUUCAGAUAAUGUGAACGCGAUGGGCAACGGGUGCGCUCGCGCCGCUGGCAAGGCGCGCCCGUGGUCCGUGGCCGGCGUCAACGCGGACAACGCCUCGUGUACCACAGAAGGCGUGGAGGCGUGCGUGGGCGGCAGCAUCGUGGGCAUCACGCCGGGCGCCGCACUAACCAGUAACCAACUUUCUGACGCUAUCCUAUACUGAGCCCUAGGGCAUCUAGCGUAGCAAUAGCAAGUCCGUGUUAGGUUCAAUGUUACGAGAUCAUCCACUAACUCCAGACGGCGGUGAGGCUUGAAAACUUUCGGAAUGGGUCGAAUGGGCGACGUGAUAAUGAGCAGGGUUAUCGGUACUCUCAGUAUUGGAUGCUCACUGAUGUGCCACUUAUUAGCGUAGGACGUACACAUUUGGUAGUCGACACUAGAGCAGGAUAGCUUCACGAUAGGUACUGACUUACGUUAUUUGACAGUUUUAAUUCAACUAUAUGGCUGUUUGAAUUGAAUACAUUUAUAUUGGUUCCGAUGGUGGAAUUGUACAAUAGGGUAGUCGGUAGUCUUAUUGAAGAGAGUGAUGGUCAACUUCAUUGUUGGUAACCAUUAUCGUAUGAAGAAAUAUUUGUAUUUUGUUUGUCUUGGGAGUAUGUUUUCGUGUGUAUUUUGGAAUAUGAGGAAAAAUGAUUAUCCCUCGAUCAUUUAACCAUUGUUAAAACAUAAAUAAGUAGGGGUACUUGCAGUGAAUAAUAAUAAUAUAAAAAAUAUGGGAUUUUUACUGAACUGUACAAAUGUGCUGUAACUGGAAUACAGUUGAAUUAAAGCUGUCGAAACGUCGUUUAAAAUUUAAAUAUUUCAAAUAAAGUUAAAUUCUGGAGCUGAUUCGUAUUUAUAAAGACUAUGAAUGGAUUUUCUACUACAUAUUUAAAUCUGCGUUGUAUUAACCGUUAUGAAAUUAUGAAAUUCUUGAAAUGAACGAGAUUAACUAGAAACAUGCAAAUAAUUUUCCAUUUUUAUUUAGAAGUGUUUACCAAUAAAUUAAUAGAUAACAAAACGAUAACUUUACCAAGGAGUAUUACGGCACUUAUCUAUUGACAUGAAGUUCGGUUAUAAUAUUUAGAGAUAAGUUUUUAUUUAAUAUUCCCAAUAAUCGUUUCAUAUUUACUGUGAUUUGUUUAGUGUUAAUUAAAAUUGAUUUAUAUAGCCUAUUAUAUUUAAUCUUGUGUUAUAUACGUAUAAGUUAGAAGCACUUUUAAAUUCUUUACACGUGUAGUUAUAAACUAAAUGAGGGUCGCAUUACAUUUUCAAAUUGCUUAGCUCGGUUUUUAUUUAUAUGUGUAAUUUGAAAGUAGUCAUUAAACGUUUCAACUUAGCUUGUACCGAUAGCUAAUGUAAUAUUUUACGUAACGAGUAAAUAUACCUCGUGAUUUGAGACCUCGGUACAAGCAUAUAUAUAAUAGUCUUCUACAAAGGGCUGCCAUGAUAUUUAAAAUGAUUAAAAAAAUAACAAAUCGGUCUUUCCUAGUCAUGUUAUUAAGGCCUAUGAAUUACGCACAAUUUGUUUAUCGUACAGGGGUUCAAUUGUAAUAUUUAUUUGUUUUAAAAUCUUCCAAUUUAUACAUUCCGUAUUUGUUGUAUGUACAGUUUAAGCGUUUGAAAAUUAUGAACGAGUGUGAUUUUUAAUAAAAGUUCAAAAUAAUAACUCGAAAUGUCAUGUAAUGUUCAAUUUUUACAGUAAUAAUAGAAUAGAGAACACCCCAUAAUUUUAAGUGUUCAUUAGAAUAACUAUUUGUACAAUCAAUUAUUCGUAUUCGUUUAUCUUCUGAAAUAAGGCUGUCUUUUAUUGAAAUUUCAUAAACAUAAAAUUACUUACCUAAGUAGAUUCUAUAUAGUAUAAUAUUGCUAAAUUAUUUAAUAGUAUUUUUAUAUUAAUUCCCGUUUAUUUCAUUUAUUAUCUAGCUCUUUGGUACCAGACUGAUUUUAGGUACAUUUAUUUUAUGGUGCAAUUUAUGUCUAGAGCGUUGUGAUAAUCUGAUUUUAAUUAUAUUAUACAACAAA